AGUGAACGCUGGCGGUAGGCCUAACACAUGCAAGUCGAACGGCAGCACAGGAGAGCUUGCUCUCUGGGUGGCGAGUGGCGGACGGGUGAGGAAUACAUCGGAAUCUACUUUUUCGUGGGGGAUAACGUAGGGAAACUUACGCUAAUACCGCAUACGACCUACGGGUGAAAGCAGGGGACCUUCGGGCCUUGCGCGAUUGAAUGAGCCGAUGUCGGAUUAGCUAGUUGGCGGGGUAAAGGCCCACCAAGGCGACGAUCCGGAGCUGAUCUGAGAGGAUGGUCAGCCACACUGGACCUGAGAAACGGUCCAGACUCCUACGGGCGGCAGCAGUGGGGAAUAUUGGACAAGGGGCGCAAGCCUGAUCCAGCCAUACCGCGUGGGUGAAGAAGGCCUUCGGGUUGUAAAGCCCUUUUGUUGGGAAAGAAAUCCAGCUGGCUAAUACCCGGUUGGGAUGACGGUACCCAAAGAAUAAGCACCGGCUAACUUCGUGCCAGCCGCCGCAGUAA
rnacentral:rRNA from 1 species